rnacentral:snoRNA from 1 species
UAUUGAUUUCAUAAAGGAAGGGAGAAACAUCAAUGAUGAGAGAGAAUCACUGAUCGGCUGCUUCCUGCAUGCCCCAUACCAGGGCCAAGCCCACAACCUGGGCGUCAUGUCUUCAGUGCCAACCGUUUCCAGUCCACGGGUUCUAUCCUCAAGCGCUGGGACACGG